GACGAACGCUGGCGGCGUGCUUAACACAUGCAAGUCGAACGGAAAGGCCCUGCUUUUGUGGGGUGCUCGAGUGGCGAACGGGUGAGUAACACGUGAGUAACCUGCCCUUGACUUUGGGAUAACUUCAGGAAACUGGGGCUAAUACCGGAUAGGAGCUCCUGCUGCAUGGUGGGGGUUGGAGAGUUUCGGCGGUUGGGGAUGGACUCGCGGCUUAUCAGCUUGUUGGUGGGGUAGUGGCUUACCAAGGCUUUGACGGGUAGCCGGCCUGAGAGGGUGACCGGGCACAUGGGGACUGAGAGACGGCCCAGACUCCUACGGGAGGCAGCAGUGGGGAAUAUUGCACAAUGGGCGGAAGCCUGAUGCAGCAGCGCCGCGUGCGGGAUGACGGCCUUCGGGUUGUGAACCGCUUUCGCCUGUGACGAAGCGUGAGUGACGGUAAUGGGUAAAGAAGCACCGGCUAACUACGUG
rnacentral:rRNA from 1 species